GUGAAUGGAUGUCGCGCGUCGCUGCAACAGUAUAAUUCUGAUAUCCGUUGUGAGCGAACGUUGGCAAUAAUUAAUCGUUGAUUCAACCUGUGUGAUACCGUUUUGUUUACUUGGAUUUCUCAGUACCAAUCCACGUAUAAGUGACAUCGAUUCCCUUCUGGUCGUGUUUUGUAAAACUAUUUUCACAAUGGUACUUUGACUGAGCAAUGCGACUUGUCUCCGAUUCGUAUACUGAACGCUUUGAUCCGUUGAUAAUAUCACCUGUACCAAUAACAGCGCUACAAAGUUGGGGUCGUAAAGACGAUCUGCAUUUCAAGCCAACCGAUUACUCAGCUUUGGAAGUAGCCCGGCAUCGGGUCAGUCCAUUCCCGGUAUCAGACAGUAUUAAUAACAGGUUCAUAAUAUGGGAAGGUGAUAUAUCGUUGCUGAAAAGCCGAUGCAAUAACAAACACCACUGACGAAACGCUGACCGAAAAGAAUAUCAUUUCCGAUCGGAUUUUCAGUCGAGCU